AGUGAACGCUGGCGGUAGGCCUAACACAUGCAAGUCGAACGGCAGCACAGUAAGAGCUUGCUCUUACGGGUGGCGAGUGGCGGACGGGUGAGGAAUACAUCGGAAUCUACUUUUUCGUGGGGGAUAACGUAGGGAAACUUACGCUAAUACCGCAUACGACCUACGGGUGAAAGCAGGGGAUCUUCGGACCUUGCGCGAUUGAAUGAGCCGAUGUCGGAUUAGCUAGUUGGCGGGGUAAAGGCCCACCAAGGCGACGAUCCGUAGCUGGUCUGAGAGGAUGAUCGGCCACACUGGAACUGGGACACGGUCCAGACUCCUACGGGAGGCAGCAGUGGGGAAUAUUGGACAAUGGGCGCAAGCCUGAUCCAGCCAUACCGCGUGGGUGAAGAAGGCCUUGGGGUUGUAAAGCCCUUUUGUUGGGAAAGAAAAGCAGCAGGUUAAUACCCCGCUGUUCUGACGGUACCCAAAGAAUAAGCACCGGCUAACUUCGUG
rnacentral:rRNA from 1 species